ensembl:lncRNA
UGUCGCUCGGAGAAGCGGGUGGCGGAUCUCGGCGGCUCAGAAGCGCGCUCUUUCCCCUGUACGCUCUGCAAUCCUGAGUGGAUUUCACUUGGUCUUGACCACUUCCCCUUCAGUGUCUCCUACACACAGGGUAAUUUCUUGGAAACACUGCCCGAUUAACAAAGGGAGCCUUUCCCAUUCUGGCUCUGCUGCUUUCCUAAAAGUAGAAUGUCCCUGUCUUUCUACCUCAGCACGGCCCCUCUUCCUUCCCUCUGAGCCUGCCUCACACAUUCACUGCACACAAAGGAUUGCCCCUAGGAGGCUGAGGCAGGAGGACUGCAAGUUGGAGUCUAGCUUGUGCAACUUAUCCACCAGGUCACUCAAGUGAGAACUACAACCUUGGGAAAUGGACUGAGAUUGUCCACCUCCUGCCCUGUGGACUUCGCAGCAAUCUGAAAGGAAUGGUGUGCUUUACCUCUGGCCUAAACACAGAAAUCAUUUCCCUUUCCUUGCCAAUUGCUGUUGUUGCUUUUAUUUUUCUUCUGCUGAGUGAUAACUUUGGGAAAAGGGAACAAACAGGGCAAUUUCUGAUCUUAUUGGUUAAGUGGUGACAAGAAUUUAAGAGAAAGUGCGACCUUUGUACUCCAUUCUAUGCCUUCCAUUCCCACCUGAAACAUAAGAAAAAAUUUAUACGUGACCAUUUAUCAUUUCCACACUUUGACAAACCCUUUCCAUACUUUUAUUACCAAAACACUGUGAAGUGUACAAAAUGUACAUGAUAUAGAGAAGGUUUUAUGUCGCUUUCCAAACCGACUCCAUUGCAAGAGAACAGAGCAGGCUGUCGGCCAAGAUAUAUCUGUGCAAAGCCUGGUGUAACACGCAAUCUAUUCCAGAUUCUCCCUCUGCCCAACCCGCAGUUGUUUGACAAGUAGACAGAUUUUUAUUAUUUGAACUGGAAAUGUCCUUUUGAUAAAUUUGUACACAUUUAAGCUUUACUUACAGAAGGCAUCUGCUUCAAGUAUUUUCCAGGAAAAGUGAUAUGUUGAAUCUCAGAAAGGUCUUUUCCACUGGUAAUAUUUAUCAAAAAGUAAAUCACAAUAAAGUCGUGUAUUAAUGGCCUGG